rnacentral:piRNA from 1 species
UCAUUACUAGAGACACAAGGA